GACGAACGCUGGCGGCGUGCCUAAUACAUGCAAGUAGAACGCUGAAGGAGGAGCUUGCUUCUCCGGAUGAGUUGCGAACGGGUGAGUAACGCGUAGGUAACCUGCCUGGUAGCGGGGGAUAACUUUUGGAAACGAUAGCUAAUACCGCAUAACAGUAGAUGUUGCAUUACAUUUGCUAAAAAGGUGCAAUUGCAUCACUACCAGAUGGACCUGCGUUGUAUUAGCUAGUUGGUGGGGGAACGGCUCACAAAGGCGACGCGACAUAGCGGACCUGAGAGGGUGGUCGGCCAAACUGGGACGGAGACAUGGCCAAGACCCUUGGAAGUGGCAGACGGAGGGAAUCUUUGGCAAUGGACGGAAGGCUGACCAAGCAACACGGCAUGGGUGAAGGAGGUUUUCGGGUCGUGUAGCUCUGUUGUAAGAGAAGAACGAGAGUGAGAGUGGAAAGUGCACACUGUGACGGUAUCUUACCAGAAAGCGACGGCUAACUACGUG
rnacentral:rRNA from 1 species